UACGAAGGGGGCUAGCGUUGUUCGGAAUCACUGGGCGUAAAGCGCACGUAGGCGGAUCUUUAAGUCAGGGGUGAAAUCCCGAGGCUCAACCUGGGAACUGCGUCCGAUACUGGCAGGCUUGAAUCCGGGAGAGGGAUGUGGAAUUCCAGGUGUAGCGGUGAAAUGCGUAGAUAUCUGGAGGAACACCGGUGGCGAAGGCGGCAUCCUGGACCAAUAUUGACGCUGAGGAGCGAAAGCCAGGGGAGCAAACGGG
rnacentral:rRNA from 1 species